AGUUGUUGAUUUACAUGCCCCACCCACAUCUUGCACUUAGCGACUGUGCAGUGUGACUGUAGCUUCAUGAAGAGGCAUCUUCAUUGUUGCUGUUUCUCCUUCAGGUUCUUGUCCCUCAUAAGAAUUGUGGGAAGAAUACUACUGCCCCAGGAAGGAAAGUAGGGGAGGAAGUCUCUGGCUCCUGUGUUUGCUGAGAAGUUAAUAUCACCAAGCAGGAGGGGAGCCAAGCUCAAGGACCAUGAGAGCCACCAGGAGAAUGACGACCGGAACAGUGAAUUGGACCAGGAUGAGGAAGGUAAAGAACCCUUCUGCAGGGAGUUCCUGAACCUAUCAAAGAAACACCUGAUAAACAAAAGAAGGAAAUGGCCAAUCAGAAAGAUUCCCCUGGAGCCAAAAAGCAAAAAUUAGAAGGAGAUUUGGCUAUGUGAAUUUUAAAUCUGCUGAUGAUCAAGAAAAGGCCCUGGAACUAAGUGAUACAAAAGUCCUUGGGUUUGAAAUUAAAUUUAAGAAACCAAAGAGAAAGGAAACAAAGGUAUGCAAACAAGGUAAUUUGUUCAAAGAUAUCGAUGUAUCUAGAAGAUUCUGGGUCAGGCAGGAAUAUCACAUUCUUUUUAAUU
rnacentral:lncRNA from 1 species